AAUUCGUAAACAUUUUUCGGUUCUAUAUGGUUUAUAAACAACUCAUUAAGGAAAAGCCAAAUUCUCAGACAUAUUUUUGAAUUUGUCAUGACACCCACUCGUCUCAAAUUUAGCACACAGUUUCUCUAUUCUAAACCCAUAUAAAUGAACUUUAAACAUGGUUAUAUGAAUUUCAUUACGCAUUUCUGAAUAAAUUACCUGCUUCACCCAGUUUCCAAUUUGUGAGACACUAACCUAAGCCAUUAAAAUGUGAAAAGCUGAAUAAGCUUAAAAACAAAUUGCUGUUUGUUGACAGAUUCCAUACUACGCAAGCAGGAGAUCACGUUGAAGAUGAUGACGAUGGUGAUUAUGAUGACUAGCGCGCUAUAUGUCCGGGGAACUGAUUAGGCAUCGCGUGUCCUAUGUGCGGCAAUAAGUUUUGGGUCUACUUCAAGAAUUAUAGCUUUUAAUAAAUAUUUAUAUAAAACAAAUAGCCCUCUGAGGUGACAUGUUGCCGGAACGUGCAAGGGUUCAAUCUUGGUUCAAGAUCAGAUCAUUUUUUGCACUCUACAAAGUAGCCAGGGCGACACUUUUUUCAGCUUGAAAAAAUUCCAGGCUGAUAGUGAAAUUCGAAAUUAAUCGAAAAUUGCGAAAAGCAAAACAUUAUAAACAAACGAACAUAAGAAGUCUUUCUUUAUGCCGCUAGAGAGAAUUGUAAGAAAAUAAAAUCUCAUUAUUAAAAGUCCAUUGGCACACCAAAUGUUUUGCUAAUGAAAGGCAUAAAUAUUUAUAUAUAUAUUGGAAUACCGUAUAUGAAAAGAUACAGAACCAAAUCGGCAUACGUCCCGAAUGCACAGCAGACACCAGUUGGCAACUAAUGAGGGCUCUGACUGGAAUCGAAGGGGUAAGGGAUCGGGAGCGGCACCGGGGAAAAAGUCUGGGAUUCGGCUUUUAAGCCUGAUUGACAUGCAUACACUUCAUCACAGUGGCGUGACGUUAGAUGAAAUGUGAUCAAUGGAUCGAUGAAUGAAUAAGUGAAAUAGGCAAAGAACUACUUGAAAUUUUGGUCGGCUUUCAUCUCGUUGAGACUGCAAAUUUUACGGCGAUCGUGACGAUGUUCGUUGGGUGGAGAUGGAUGCUUUAAAAGUUUAGGGGAUCAGAAUUUAACGAACCGCGAAGCACAGUGGGAUAAUGGCCAAAAUUAUUAACUAUUUAUCUAUAUUUAACCCAGCACAAUGCGAUUUGUGGGCUCUUUGCAUAACCACCUAUCCACCUACCCCUCCGAGAACUAUUAUUAUGCGUCACUUUCUUUCCAUUCAAAUCGAAUAAAACAAUAUGGGAACUACAUAAACCAGUCGCCGGAAACAGCGAAAAAAGACUAUCAAAAAAUAUGAGGAAAGGAGCUUAAUAUGCAAGACAGGCACGCAUGACAAUAAUUCAUAAUAAACCAAAUUUUCCUAUAGCGAAAGGUGUGUUCCGAAAGGAAUAUGAGUACGAAGCCGAUUUGCAUAUGAAUAUCAGUAUGCUUUUGGUAAUUUCAUUGUAUUUCGCAGCCGGAAAGUUGAAUAAACUGCAAGAAUAAAUUGUAAAGUAAAGAUGAUGAACCAUCCGAAGAGUCCCAGAUCACGAAGGUGGUUGCACCCACAUUUAACCUUCAGUCGAUGACAGCUGUCAAUGGCCCAACCUUCAGAGAUUAUUGCUGGAAAAGCGAGGAAAAACAAUACUGGAUCACACAGCUGCUGCAACUGGUGGCUUUAUCGACAUGACAUUAUAGGCAAACUUGACCAAUAUUCUUUAUCGUUCACGGAAAGAAACUACAAGAAAAAAUAAAUAUGAUUCAUGCAAAUCAUAUAUUGAAUUUUAGACUCAAUAGAAACCCAUCUAUGCCUUUAUCUAUGGAUAAGUUAUCACUUCUUUUUCGU